rnacentral:pre_miRNA from 1 species
UAUUAAAAAUUUCAACCAUUUAUACGAUUAAAAUACUGGGGAGGUUGUUGGAAUAACUAGACAGUGACAUGUGAAGUGUCACGUGUACCCCAUGUCGUAUAGGGAUCGAUUUUUAACAACAAAAAUAGAUGAAAAUUUUAACA